UACGAAGGGGGCGAGCGUUGUCCGGAUUUAUUGGGCGUAAAGAGCGUGUAGGCGGCCAUACAGGUCAGCUGUGAAAACUCGAGGCUCAACCUCGAGACGUCGGUUGAAACCGUAUGGCUAGAGUCCGGAAGAGGAGAGUGGAAUUCCCGGUGUAGCGGUGAAAUGCGCAGAUAUCGGGAAGAACACCCGUGGCGAAGGCGGCUCUCUGGGACGGUACUGACGCUGAGACGCGAAAGCGUGGGGAGCGAACAGG
rnacentral:rRNA from 1 species